AAUGAACGCUGGCGGCGUGCUUAACACAUGCAAGUCGAACGAGAAAGUACCUUCGGGUGCGAGUAGAGUGGCGCACGGGUGAGUAACACGUAGAUAAACCUACCCAUUGAUGGGGGAUAACCAGGAGAAAUUCUGGCUAAUACCGCAUAAGUUGGUAACAAGAAAGGAUGCUUCGGCAUUCGUCGAUGGAUGGGUCUGCGGGACAUUAGUUUGAUGGUGGGUAAUGGCCUACCAUGACUACGAUGUCUAGCUGGUCUGAGAGGAUGAUCAGCCACAC
rnacentral:rRNA from 1 species